rnacentral:rRNA from 1 species
UAGCUAGUUGGUAGGGUAAAGGCCUACCAAGGCGACGAUCGGUAGCUGGUCUGAGAGGAUGACCAGCCACACUGGAACUGAGACACGGUCCAGACUCCUACGGGAGGCAGCAGUGGGGAAUAUUGGACAAUGGGGGCAACCCUGAUCCAGCAAUGCCGCGUGUGUGAAGAAGGCCUGAGGGUUGUAAAGCACUUUCAGUGGGGAGGAGGGUUGUUUGGUUAAGAGCUGGACAAUUGGACGUUACCCACAGAAGAAGCACCGGCUAACUCCGUGCCAGCAGCCGCGGUAAUACGGAGGGUGCGAGCGUUAAUCGGAAUUACUGGGCGUAAAGGGUGCGUAGGUGGUUAAUUAAGUUAUCUGUGAAAUCCCUGGGCUCAACCUGGGCAGGUCAGAUAAUACUGUUUAACUCGAGUAUGGGAGAGGGUAGUGGAAUUUCCGGUGUAGCGGUGAAAUGCGUAGAGAUCGGAAGGAACACCAGUGGCGAAGGCGGCUACCUGGCCUAAUACUGACACUGAGGCACGAAAGCGUGGGGAGCAAACGGGAUUAGAUACCCUGGUAGUCCACGCUGUAAACGAUGUCAACUAGCUGUUGGUUAUAUGAAUAUAAUUAGUGGCGA